GAAAAUGGACUGCUCAGUAAUACUCACUUUAUUUUAUGUAAAUUUUUAAUUAACUACGUUAAAGUGUAUAUAAGAUGUUUACAGUAAGAGUGAGACCUAUCAGCUAGUUGUUAAGGUAAUGGCUUAACAAGGCUGUGACGGGUAACGGUAUUACUUUGUAAUAUUCCGGAGAAAGAGCCUGAGAGACGGCUACUAAGUCUAAGGAUUGCAGCAGGGGCGAAACUUGACCUAUGGAUUUUAUCUGAGGCAGUUAUGGGAAGUAAUAUUAUAUUGUUUCAUAUUUUAAAAGUAUAUGAGGUGAUUAAUUGGAGGGCAAAUCAAGUGCCAGCAGCCGCGGUAAUACG
rnacentral:rRNA from 1 species